rnacentral:piRNA from 1 species
UGCAUCUUGGCGCAGGCCUUUCUGUGGGC